rnacentral:rRNA from 1 species
UACGUAGGUCCCGAGCGUUGUCCGGAUUUAUUGGGCGUAAAGCGAGCGCAGGUGGUUUAUUAAGUCUGGUGUAAAAGGCAGUGGCUCAACCAUUGUACGCAUUGGAAACUGGUAGACUUGAGUGCAGGAGAGGAGAGUGGAACUCCAUGUGUAGCGGUGAAAUGCGUAGAUAUAUGGAGGAACACCGGUGGCGAAAGCGGCUCUCUGGCCUGUAACUGACACUGAGGCUCGAAAGCGUAGGGAGCAAACAGG